GAAGUUACAGUUAGCUGGUGCGUUGCCUUUGUGAUUCAUCUGCUCUGGUCUACUUUUAUUUUAUUUUAUUUUAUUUUUUUGUGUGGGGUCAGUGUUGUAAAUCAAAGAUUUGAGAAAUAAGCCUGUGCUUAAAAUGACCCAAAUUAAAAUUCAGUUGCCACCUUUCUUGUCUUACUAGGCAUCGCUUCCAUUUCUGUGAGGAGUCGGCGCGUGCUAAAAGGCUGGCGUACAGCUCCAGAGCCAGCCAUUAGCUCAUGGUCUGCCUCUGCCAAUGCUUAAGCUCAGGAGGCUGACAGUCGUCUGCAGACACUCUCUCCCUCAAGAACACGCAUGUCAACACACGACUACAAGGAGAAUGGAAAUGCACCUGUGUGGCUCGCUAUCGGCCCCGGCAAGCUGCCCGAUGCCCCGUAAUGCUGAUGAAAGGGUGUCGCUGUGCCUUCCUCCCCAGAUGGUUAAAGGCAAGCAGUUUUUCCUCCACUGUAAUCUCAGGAACGAUGCACUUAGAGCUACCUUCAAUAACAGUGAAGUGAGACAUUCAGUACAUUGGAAUAUUUUAUUUUGA
rnacentral:lncRNA from 1 species